AUCGCUUCUCGGCCUUUUGGCUAAGAUCAAGUGUAGUAUCUGUUCUUAUCAGUUUAAUAAAAUAUAGUGGUAAGUAAAGUAAACAAACCUGGGUUCAGUCUCAGUCUGUCAUUUAACUGCUCUGUAAAAUAGACUAAUUUAUUUACUUUUAAGUUCAGUUUUCAAUGGAUAAAAUAGAAACAGU